GCAUAUCAAUAAGCGGAGGAAAAGAAACCAACCGGGAUUGCCUCAGUAACGGCGAGUGAAGCGGCAAGAGCUCAAAUUUGAAAUCUGGCCCCCUCCGGGGUCCGAGUUGUAAUUUGCAGAGGAUGCUUCGGGUGCGGUCCCCGUCUAAGUGCCCUGGAACGGGCCGUCAUAGAGGGUGAGAAUCCCGUCUGGGAUGGGCGGCCGCGCCCGUGUGAAGCUCCUUCGACGAGUCGAGUUGUUUGGGAAUGCAGCUCUAAGCGGGUGGUAAAUUUCAUCUAAAGCUAAAUACUGGCCGGAGACCGAUAGCGCACAAGUAGAGUGAUCGAAAGAUGAAAAGCACUUUGAAAAGAGAGUUAAACAGCACGUGAAAUUGUUGAAAGGGAAGCGUUGUCCACCAGACUCGCCCGGGGGGGUUCAGCCGGCACCUGUGCCGGUGUACUCCUCCCCGGGCGGGCCAGCAUCGGUUUGGGCGGCUGGUGAAAGGCCCCGGGAAUGUAACACCCUUCGGGGUGCCUUAUAGCCCGGGGUGCCAUGCGGCCAGCCUGGACCGAGGCCCGCGCUUCGGCGAGGAUGCUGGCGUAAUGGUGGUCAACGGCCCGUCUUGAAACACGGACCAAGGAGUCUAACAUCUAUGCGAGUGUUCGGGUGUCAAACCCGUCCGCGCAGUGAAAGCGAACGGAGGUGGGAGCCCCCCCGGGGGCGCACCAUCGACCGAUCCUGAUGUCUUCGGAUGGAUUUGAGUAAGAGCAUAGCUGUUGGGACCCGAAAGAUGGUGAACUAUGCCUGAAUAGGGCGAAGCCAGAGGAAACUCUGGUGGAGGCUCGCAGCGGUUCUGACGUGCAAAUCGAUCGUCAAAUUUGGGUAUAGGGGCGAAAGACUAAUCGAACCAUCUGGUAGCUGGUUCCUGCC
rnacentral:rRNA from 1 species